GACGAACGCUGGCGGCGUGCUUAACACAUGCAAGUUGAACGGAAAGGCCCUGCUUUUGUGGGGUGCUCGAGUGGCGAACGGGUGAGUAACACGUGAGUAACCUGCCCUUGACUUUGGGAUAACUUCAGGAAACUGGGGCUAAUACCGGAUAGGAGCUCCUGCUGCAUGGUGUGGGUUGGAAAGUUUCGGCGGUUGGGGAUGGACUCGCGGCUUAUCAGCUUGUUGGUGGGGUAGUGGCUUACCAAGGGUUUGACGGGUAGCCGGCCUGAGAGGGUGACCGGCCACCUUGGGACUGAGAUACGGACCAGACUCCUACGGGAGGCAGCAGUGGGGAAUAUUGCACAAUGGGCGGAAGCCUGAUGCAGCAACGCCGCGUGCGGGAUGACGGCCUUCGGGUUGUAAACCGCUUUCGACUGUGACGAAGCGUGAGUGACGGUAAUGGGUAAAGAAGCACCGGCUAACUACGUG
rnacentral:rRNA from 1 species